AUUGAACGCUGGCGGCAUGCCUUACACAUGCAAGUCGAACGGUAACAGGUCUUCGGAUGCUGACGAGUGGCGAACGGGUGAGUAAUACAUCGGAACGUGCCUAGUAGUGGGGGAUAACUACUCGAAAGAGUGGCUAAUACCGCAUGAGAUCUACGGAUGAAAGCAGGGGAUCGCAAGACCUUGUGCUACUAGAGCGGCCGAUGGCAGAUUAGGUAGUUGGUGGGAUAAAAGCUUACCAAGCCGACGAUCUGUAGCUGGUCUGAGAGGACGAUCAGCCACACUGGGACUGAGACACGGCCCAGACUCCUACGGGAGGCAGCAGUGGGGAAUUUUGGACAAUGGGCGAAAGCCUGAUCCAGCAAUGCCGCGUGCAGGAUGAAGGCCUUCGGGUUGUAAACUGCUUUUGUACGGAACGAAAAGCCCCGGGUUAAUACCCUGGGGUCAUGACGGUACCGUAAGAAUAAGCACCGGCUAAUUACGUGCCAGCAGCCGCGGUAA
rnacentral:rRNA from 1 species